rnacentral:rRNA from 1 species
GUGACGAAGCGACGCCGCGUGUGGGAAGAAGGCCUUCGGGUUGUAAACCACUGUCGGGAGUUAGGAAAUGUAAGGGUGUUAAUAGUAUCCUUACUUGACUAAGGCUCCGGAGGAAGCCACGGCUAACUCUGUGCCAGCAGCCGCGGUAAUACAGAGGCGGCAAGCGUUGUUCGGAAUUAUUGGGCGUAAAGAGCACGUAGGCGGCCUUGUAAGUCAGUUGUGAAAGCCUUCUGCUUAAGGGAAGAACAGCAGCUGAUACUGCAAGGCUAGAGUGCGGAAGGGGAGAGUGGAACUUCUGGUGGAGCGGUGAAAUGCGUAGAUAUCAGGAGGAACACCGGCGGCGAAGGCGACUCUCUGGUCCGUAACUGACGCUGAGUGUGCGAAAGCUAGGGGAGCAAACGGGAUUAGAUACCCCGGUAGUCCUAGCCGUAGACGAU